UUGUAAAGAUAUGUUGAGUUGUAGGACUCUAACUUUACUAAAUGUUUAGAAAAGGCAUAUUGAAGAA
rnacentral:ncRNA from 1 species